GAGUGAAGUGAUGCUUUACCAUCUUUCGGGACUGACUUAAAAUGGAGACAGCCUUUCUAAACUGAUCACUC